AAAACUUAGUGGCGGACGGGUGAGUAACGCGUGGGUAACCUGACCUCAGUACAGGGGGGAUAACAGUUAGAAAUGACUGCUAACACCGCAUAAUAUAGCGAAACCGCAUGAUUUUGCUAUCAAAUAGUUUAUAGGUAUGAGAUGGGCCCGCGUCUGAUUAGCUAGUUGGUGGGGUAAAAGCCUACCAAGGCGACGAUCAGUAGCCGGCUUGAGAGAGUGACCGGCCACAUUGGGACUGAGACACGGCCCAAACUCCUACGGGAGGCAGCAGUGGGGAAUAUUGGACAAUGGGGGAAACCCUGAUCCAGCGAACCGCCGCGUGAGUGAAGAAGUAUUUCGGUAUGUAAAGCUCUAUCAGCAGGGAAGAUAAUGACAGUACCUGACUAAGAAGCCCCGGCUAACUACGUGCCAGCCGCAGC
rnacentral:rRNA from 1 species